rnacentral:lncRNA from 1 species
CUUGUGUCCAUCUAUAAAAUUGGAGCCGGCAUGCCUGCUGCUCUACUGUGUGUUUUUGGAGCAGUUGCCCCCAGACGGGGGGGACCCGGGACUCAUGGGAGGCAUGUGCCGCCUCCUUAUACAUGAGGCUUGCUUCCAAUUUGAAGGAGAAUUUUGCAGGCAAGUGACAGGGAUUCCGAUGGGGGGCCCAUUGGCAGGGGUUCUGGCUGGGAUGGUGGUUGGGAGCGGGGAGGGGGAGGUGGCUGAGGGAGUGGCGGCAGAGGUUGGACUGUUUGGGGGAUGCAUGGGCGAUGUCAUCAUGAUGGGGGAGGGACGUGAC